UUAAGCGACUAAGCGUACACGGUGGAUGCCCUGGCAGUCAGAGGCGAUGAAGGACGUGCUAAUCUGCGAAAAGCGUCGGUAAGGUGAUAUGAACCGUUAUAACCGGCGAUGUCCGAAUGGGGAAACCCAGUGCAAUUCGUUGCACUAUCGUUAACUGAAUACAUAGGUUAACGAGGCGAACCGGGGGAACUGAAACAUCUAAGUACCCCGAGGAAAAGAAAUCAACCGAGAUUCCCCCAGUAGCGGCGAGCGAACGGGGAGCAGCCCAGAGUCUGAAUCAGCUUGUGUGUUAGUGGAACGGUCUGGAAAGUCCGACGGUACAGGGUGAUAGUCCCGUACACCAAAAUGCACAGGUUGUGAACUCGAAGAGUAGGGCGGGACACGUGGUAUCCUGUCUGAAUAUGGGGGGACCAUCCUCCAAGGCUAAAUACUCCUGACUGACCGAUAGUGAACCAGUACCGUGAGGGAAAGGCGAAAAGAACCCCGGCGAGGGGAGUGAAAAAGAACCUGAAACCGUGUACGUACAAGCAGUGGGAGCACCUUCGGGUGUGACUGCGUACCUUUUGUAUAAUGGGUCAGCGACUUAUAUUCUGUAGCAAGGUUAACCGUAUAGGGGAGCCGCAGGGAAACCGAGUCUUAACUGGGCGUUAAGUUGCAGGGUAUAGACCCGAAACCCGGUGAUCUAGCCAUGGGCAGGUUGAAGGUUGGGUAACACUAACUGGAGGACCGAACCGACUAAUGUUGAAAAAUUAGCGGAUGACUUGUGGCUGGGGGUGAAAGGCCAAUCAAACCGGGAGAUAGCUGGUUCUCCCCGAAAGCUAUUUAGGUAGCGCCUCGUGAAUUCAUCUUCGGGGGUAGAGCACUGUUUCGGCUAGGGGGUCAUCCCGACUUACCAACCCGAUGCAAACUACGAAUACCGAAGAAUGUUAUCACGGGAGACACACGGCGGGUGCUAACGUCCGUCGUGAAGAGGGAAACAACCCAGACCGCCAGCUAAGGUCCCAAAGUCAUGGUUAAGUGGGAAACGAUGUGGGAAGGCACAGACAGCCAGGAUGUUGGCUUAGAAGCAGCCAUCAUUUAAAGAAAGCGUAAUAGCUCACUGGUCGAGUCGGCCUGCGCGGAAGAUGUAACGGGGCUAAACCAUGCACCGAAGCUGCGGCAGCGACACUAUGUGUUGUUGGGUAGGGGAGCGUUCUGUAAGCCUGCGAAGGUGUGCUGUGAGGCAUGCUGGAGGUAUCAGAAGUGCGAAUGCUGACAUAAGUAACGAUAAAGCGGGUGAAAAGCCCGCUCGCCGGAAGACCAAGGGUUCCUGUCCAACGUUAAUCGGGGCAGGGUGAGUCGACCCCUAAGGCGAGGCCGAAAGGCGUAGUCGAUGGGAAACAGGUUAAUAUUCCUGUACUUGGUGUUACUGCGAAGGGGGGACGGAGAAGGCUAUGUUAGCCGGGCGACGGUUGUCCCGGUUUAAGCAUGUAGGCUGAUUAUCCAGGCAAAUCCGGAUAAUCAAGGCUGAGGUGUGAUGACGAGGCACUACGGUGCUGAAGUAACAAAUGCCCUGCUUCCAGGAAAAGCCUCUAAGCAUCAGGUAACAUCAAAUCGUACCCCAAACCGACACAGGUGGUCAGGUAGAGAAUACCAAGGCGCUUGAGAGAACUCGGGUGAAGGAACUAGGCAAAAUGGUGCCGUAACUUCGGGAGAAGGCACGCUGGUGUGUAGGUGAAGUCCCUGCGGAUGGAGCUGAGACCAGUCGAAGAUACCAGCUGGCUGCAACUGUUUAUUAAAAACACAGCACUGUGCAAACACGAAAGUGGACGUAUACGGUGUGACGCCUGCCCGGUGCCGGAAGGUUAAUUGAUGGGGUUAUCCGUAAGGAGAAGCUCUUGAUCGAAGCCCCGGUAAACGGCGGCCGUAACUAUAACGGUCCUAAGGUAGCGAAAUUCCUUGUCGGGUAAGUUCCGACCUGCACGAAUGGCGUAAUGAUGGCCAGGCUGUCUCCACCCGAGACUCAGUGAAAUUGAACUCGCUGUGAAGAUGCAGUGUACCCGCGGCAAGACGGAAAGACCCCGUGAACCUUUACUAUAGCUUGACACUGAACAUUGAGCCUUGAUGUGUAGGAUAGGUGGGAGGCUUUGAAGCGUGGACGCCAGUCUGCGUGGAGCCAACCUUGAAAUACCACCCUUUAAUGUUUGAUGUUCUAACGUUGGCCCCU
rnacentral:rRNA from 1 species